GAUGAAGAACGUAGCGAAAUGCGAUAAGUAAUGUGAAUUGCAGAAUUCAGUGAAUCAUCGAAUCUUUGAACGCACAUUGCGCCCGCCAGUAUUCUGGCGGGCAGGCCUGUCUGAGCGUCAUUUCAACCCUCAUGCCCCUAGGGCGUGGUGUUGGGGAUCGGCCAAAGCCCGCGAGGGACGGCCGGCCCCUAAAUCUAGUGGCGGACCCGUCGUGGCCUCCUCUGCGAAGUAGUGAUAUUCCGCAUCGGAGAGCGACGAGCCCCUGCCGUUAAACCCCCAACUUUCCAAGGUUGACCUCAGAUCAGGUAGGAAUACCCGCUGAACUUAAGCAUAUCAAUAAGCGGAGGA
rnacentral:misc_RNA from 1 species